ensembl:lncRNA
AAACAACUUGGUAUUACCCAUGGUUAUGUUGGGCCCAGCAUAGCUCUCGAGUAUGAAGACCAGCUGAACUUGUCAGUGUCUAAAAGCAGCUAUUAUCAAUGUAAUCUUUUAAUUUUACAAUAAAAUGUUCAUUGUAGCAUCAACAAAAGUGUAGAUAAAUAAAGGUAAACAAUAAGCAGUGUCUGUAUCAUACGAAUACAAUCCUAACAAUAUAUAUCCCUAAUUAUGGGCAUAAAUAUUUAACUUUAAGGCACAAAUCUGACCAAAGGAGUAGGGCUUGUUGGGUUUUUUUAUUUAGCUUUGUUGUGUCUCUCCUACAGUUCCAGUCGGUAGGCAUGCAUCAACAAGACACUUUCAGGAGCCAUGGCAUGAGAAGCAUGAGGACGAACUCUACAUGGAAAUCAAACAGAACGAACACCUAUCGGCAGGCCGGCUCAUCAUUUUACCAACGUUCUUUAAGCCUUCGAUCGGCUGACCGCAUUGAAGACCAUAUCAACAGGAGAUGUAACGAGGUUGAUGGAAAUGUUGUUGACCACCCAGCAUACCAACCCCGCAGCUAUGCCUUUGAAGGAGAGGGCAGCAUAUGUCAGUCAUUGGAUAAACUGUCAUUCCACGACAUGGGAGAGGAUUUUCAGUAUCUGGAUGAUUUGGGGCCAAAGUUCAAGACCUUGGGACAGAUGUAUGAUGAGGCAAUUAAAAAAAAGAAAGUACAGCUUUAAAAGGCACUGCUGAAAUGUAAAUUGUAUUCCAAGUUUCGCUCCCUAAAAUACAGACUGAGCAGAGAUGAUACACCACUACGUUUUAAUAUUUUUACUUAAAGAUUAUGGACUAUAACAUCUAAUUCAUCCUAAGCCAGGUAUAUUUUGUUGGCAUUAAGAUGGAUUUAAUGCACUGCACAGCUGGUGACGCACUAGUGGUUUGUGAAAUGUAUUAACUUGAAAGGGAUUAGGUGUGUUUUCUUGUUUUUUUAGUUUGCUUUGUCAGGGCAGUAUUAUUGGGAAAUUUAACAGAACUUCUUUUGUUGAAACUGAGAUGACUGCUGUUAGUCACAUUUUUCUAGAGUACUGUUUUGUAAAGGAUUAUUGAUGACAACACAGGGCUCAUCAUAAUGGGUUAUUGUUCCUGCAAGCUGUAAAUGUCCUUGGCCUAUUGUUGAUGAUUGAGUUACAUACUGGUCUGGAAUUAACACUGGAUAUCCUACAACAUUAAAAUGUUAAUUCUCUGUUUAGUUUUCGUAUUUGCAUUUCAUGAUACAAAAAUAACAAACUUUAUUUCUGUAACACCUCUCUAAACCAGUCACAAAGUGCUUCAAAUACUUUACAGAAAUAACACAUUUAAAAAAUACAUAAUAAAAUGAAUGGCAUUGAAAAUAAAAAAUGAAAAUAAAAAUGAAAUAAAAAA